ACAUAGGCUUUCUUGAAAGCCACUCAAUGGGUAAAUAUUAGUUUUU
rfam:Myotis brandtii contig175622, whole genome shotgun sequence.